rnacentral:rRNA from 1 species
GGUUAAGCGACUAAGCGUACACGGUGGAUGCCCUGGCAGUCAGAGGCGAUGAAGGACGUGCUAAUCUGCGAAAAGCGUCGGUAAGGUGAUAUGAACCGUUACAGCCGGCGAUGUCCGAAUGGGGAAACCCAGUGCAAUUCGUUGCACUAUCGUUAACUGAAUACAUAGGUUAACGAGGCGAACCGGGGGAACUGAAACAUCUAAGUACCCCGAGGAAAAGAAAUCAACCGAGAUUCCCCCAGUAGCGGCGAGCGAACGGGGAGCAGCCCGGAGUCUGAAUCAGCUUGUGUGUUAGUGGAAGCGUCUGGAAAGUCGCAGGGUACAGGGUGAUACUCCCGUACACUAAAACACACAGGCUGUGAACUCGAAGAGUAGGGCGGGACACGUGGUAUCCUGUCUGAAUAUGGGGGGACCAUCCUCCAAGGCUAAAUACUCCUGACUGACCGAUAGUGAACCAGUACCGUGAGGGAAAGGCGAAAAGAACCCCGGCGAGGGGAGUGAAAAAGAACCUGAAACCGUGUACGUACAAGCAGUAGGAGCCCCACCACCAAAGCGUUUCGCUUUGCGUGGUGCGCAAAAUGCGUAACGACAGCAUGAUGGACGGUUAACGGAGCGUCAGCGACGUUCAACCUCAAAAAUCAGGCAGUGGAGCGUUUUGGGGUGGGGUGACUGCGUACCUUUUGUAUAAUGGGUCAGCGACUUAUAUUCUGUAGCAAGGUUAACCGUAUAGGGGAGCCGCAGGGAAACCGAGUCUUAACUGGGCGUUAAGUUGCAGGGUAUAGACCCGAAACCCGGUGAUCUAGCCAUGGGCAGGUUGAAGGUUGGGUAACACUAACUGGAGGACCGAACCGACUAAUGUUGAAAAAUUAGCGGAUGACUUGUGGCUGGGGGUGAAAGGCCAAUCAAACCGGGAGAUAGCUGGUUCUCCCCGAAAGCUAUUUAGGUAGCGCCUCGUGAACUCAUCUUCGGGGGUAGAGCACUGUUUCGGCUAGGGGGUCAUCCCGACUUACCAACCCGAUGCAAACUACGAAUACCGAAGAAUGUUAUCACGGGAGACACACGGCGGGUGCUAACGUCCGUCGUGAAGAGGGAAACAACCCAGACCGCCAGCUAAGGUCCCAAAGUCAUGGUUAAGUGGGAAACGAUGUGGGAAGGCCCAGACAGCCAGGAUGUUGGCUUAGAAGCAGCCAUCAUUUAAAGAAAGCGUAAUAGCUCACUGGUCGAGUCGGCCUGCGCGGAAGAUGUAACGGGGCUAAACCAUGCACCGAAGCUGCGGCAGCGACACUAUGUGUUGUUGGGUAGGGGAGCGUUCUGUAAGCCGUUGAAGGUGGCCUGUGAGGGUUGCUGGAGGUAUCAGAAGUGCGAAUGCUGACAUAAGUAACGAUAAUGCGGGUGAAAAACCCGCACGCCGGAAGACCAAGGGUUCCUGUCCAACGUUAAUCGGGGCAGGGUGAGUCGACCCCUAAGGCGAGGCCGAAAGGCGUAGUCGAUGGGAAACAGGUUAAUAUUCCUGUACUUGGUGUUACUGCGAAGGGGGGACGGAGAAGGCUAUGUUGGCCGGGCGACGGUUGUCCCGGUUUAAGCAUGUAGGCGGAUGUUCCAGGUAAAUCCGGAACGUUACUAACGCUGAGGUGUGAUGACGAGGCACUACGGUGCUGAAGUGACAAAUGCCCUGCUUCCAGGAAAAGCCUCUAAGCAUCAGGUAACAUCAAAUCGUACCCCAAACCGACACAGGUGGUCAGGUAGAGAAUACCAAGGCGCUUGAGAGAACUCGGGUGAAGGAACUAGGCAAAAUGGUGCCGUAACUUCGGGAGAAGGCACGCUGAUGGUAAGUGAAGUGACUUGCUCAUGGAGCUGAAAUCAGUCGAAGAUACCAGCUGGCUGCAACUGUUUAUUAAAAACACAGCACUGUGCAAACACGAAAGUGGACGUAUACGGUGUGACGCCUGCCCGGUGCCGGAAGGUUAAUUGAUGGGGUUAUCCUCACGGAGAAGCUCUUGAUCGAAGCCCCGGUAAACGGCGGCCGUAACUAUAACGGUCCUAAGGUAGCGAAAUUCCUUGUCGGGUAAGUUCCGACCUGCACGAAUGGCGUAAUGAUGGCCAGGCUGUCUCCACCCGAGACUCAGUGAAAUUGAACUCGCUGUGAAGAUGCAGUGUACCCGCGGCAAGACGGAAAGACCCCGUGAACCUUUACUAUAGCUUGACACUGAACACUGGUCCUUGAUGUGUAGGAUAGGUGGGAGGCUUUGAAGUGUGGACGCCAGUCUGCAUGGAGCCAUCCUUGAAAUACCACCCUUUAAUGGCUGGUGUUCUAACGUGGGCCCGUGAUCCGGGUUGCGGACAGUGUCUGGUGGGUAGUUUGACUGGGGCGGUCUCCUCCUAAAGAGUAACGGAGGAGCACGAAGGUCAGCUAAUCCUGGUCGGACAUCAGGAGGUUAGUGCAAUGGCAUAAGCUGGCUUGACUGCGAGCGUGACGGCGCGAGCAGGUGCGAAAGCAGGUCAUAGUGAUCCGGUGGUUCUGAAUGGAAGGGCCAUCGCUCAACGGAUAAAAGGUACUCCGGGGAUAACAGGCUGAUACCGCCCAAGAGUUCAUAUCGACGGCGGUGUUUGGCACCUCGAUGUCGGCUCAUCACAUCCUGGGGCUGAAGUAGGUCCCAAGGGUAUGGCUGUUCGCCAUUUAAAGUGGUACGCGAGCUGGGUUUAGAACGUCGUGAGACAGUUCGGUCCCUAUCUGCCGUGGGCGCUGGAGAAUUGAGGGGGGCUGCUCCUAGUACGAGAGGACCGGAGUGGACGCAUCACUGGUGUUCGGGUUGUCAUGCCAAUGGCAUUGCCCGGUAGCUAAAUGCGGAAGAGAUAAGUGCUGAAAGCAUCUAAGCACGAAACUUGCCCCGAGAUGAGUUCUCCCUGACUCCUUGAGAGUCCUGAAGGAACGUUGAAGACGACGACGUUGAUAGGCCGGGUGUGUAAGCGCAGCGAUGCGUUGAGCUAACCGGUACUAAUGAACCGUGAGGCUUAACCUU